rnacentral:rRNA from 1 species
AUUGAACGCUGGCGGCAGGCCUAACACAUGCAAGUCGAGCGGAUGAAGGGAGCUUGCUCCUGGAUUCAGCGGCGGACGGGUGUGUAAUGCCUAGGAAUCUGCCUGGUAGUGGGGGAUAACGUCCGGAAACGGGCGCUAAUACCGCCUACGUCCUGAGGGAGAAAGUGGGGGAUCUUCGGACCUCACGCUAUCAGAUGAGCCUAGGCCGGAUUAGCUAGUUGGUGGGGUAAAGGCCUACCAAGGCGACGAUCCGUAACUGGUCUGAGAGGAUGAUCAGUCACACUAGAACUGAGACACGGUCCAGACUCCUACGGGAGGCAGCAGUGGGGAAUAUUGGACAAUGGGCGAAAGCCUGAUCCAGCCAUGCCGCGUGUGUGAAGAAGGUCUUCGGAUUGUAAAGCACUUUAAGUUGGGAGAAAGGGCAGUAAGUUAAUACCUUGCUGUUUUGACGUUACCAACAGAAUAAGCACCGGCUAACUUCGUG